AUGUAGGUAGUAUAUUUUUGAGUAUUCUGUCUUUCCAAGUCAGGGGUUCCGUGGUUGGGUCUAUAUA
rnacentral:tRNA from 1 species